GGAGCACUCAGAGCAGGCCUCCUGUAUCCUCCCUUCCUCUUUCCUUGCUGUGCCUGCUCUGCUACCUGCUUCCUUUCCCAGAUGAUACCCGUCUAGCCCUUUGAGGACAUCCACAGGUGCCUCUGUAGGCUCAGGUGACUUUCAAACAGAAGUGGCCUCCAGGCCUGCCAGCACUGACUGCAGUCUGCUUGUUGACAUCUGCUGAGCUCCACAGGGCAGUGGAAGGGCUAAGUAGCCGGCAGGCCUUGUCCUGUGUGCUGUCCCCUCAGCAUCCAUGUCCUUUAGACCUUGCCAGGGAGGCUUGAAUGCUCUCUGUAAGGCUGGAAGCUGGCCUGGCUGCCUGGGACUGCCAGCUGUCUGUGCCCCUGUCACUGGCCUUGGUUUGGGGCAGGCUGUGGCCCAAGGCCUGCUUGUCAGCACGUGGCUUGGGUUUCCACGUUAGCGUUCCCAAAUUGGGACUGCAGGAGAUCAAGUGUCCUGGAGUAGUCUGAUCACACUGAGCCUUCUCCAGCCACCAGCUGCGAACUUUUCAAAGGGUUUUGUGUAAUUGGUUUGGAAGAUGCUGCAGGGGACUGAGACCAGGACAAAGAAGUCAGUUUUUAAAAGGAAAAAGAACAAAUGAACAUGACCACCUGGGGCUGUUUGGGUGGGGCAAGGUGCCUAGGCCAGUAGAAACCCCUUCAUAUUUUUGUACAGGCCCUGCCUCCUGUGGACUGUCAUUGCUGAUUCCCCCCAGACCUUCUCUGUGUAAAUACAGCCUCUGUCUCCCACCCCCUCCCUCAUUAUGCAUUCCUUUAAUCUGACCCAUCUCCAGGUCGCCAGCUGGCAAAGACUCAGCAGAUUCCAAACCCCAGCUGGUGCCAGAGUGUUUACACAGGCGGGAAGCUUGGCAGACAACUUGCCCCCAAGCUACUCAGCUGUAGGAAAAGCUACCCUUUAUGGAACAUCUGAGGUCCUUGACUUCCAGACUGUGGCAGCAGAUCAGAUACUAUUUAAAAGACCUUAUUCAUCAAUAUAAAGCCAGUUCCCAUACACAAUGGGUGUGGUUAUUUCUAAUAUAAUAAAAGUUAUGUGGCUAAUCAGAUACGUUGACACUUUCCUAUGAUCCCAGCACUCUGGGAGGCUGAGCCAGGAGGAUCACAGGUGCAAGCCCAGCCUGGGGCAACUUUGUGACUUAGUGAGACUCAGUCUCAAAAAAAGGGUGGAGAUGUGUAAAGGCUCUGAGUUCAAUCUUUGUACUGGGGGGAAAAAAGCAGUACAGCUGAGUGUUCACGAAGCCAGGACUGAUUUAUCACUGCAGCUUGAGGUCAGUAGGGUCUUUGGUGGUCCUCAAUCUCCUCUUCUUUCCUUAGCAGAGACUCCCUACCUCUACCCCAAAACACGC
rnacentral:lncRNA from 1 species